rnacentral:rRNA from 1 species
CUGGGGCCGAAAGGCAUGUAAAAUAGGUUGCAGUUUUGAUAGCGGAAGCUUUUAAAAUCAGUAAUUUAUGUCAGUGCUGAGCCAUCAUACCGGAGAA